rnacentral:tRNA from 1 species
AAUAAACAUAAUUUUUGCUCGUCUAUCGAGACCUGCGACCUGAAAAACCGCCGUUGUUAAUCAACUACAAAAAC